UACGAAGGGGGCGAGCGUUGUUCGGAUUUACUGGGCGUAAAGGGCGCGCAGGCGGCCGCAUUUGUCAGGCGUGAAAGCCCCGGGCUUAACCUGGGAACUGCGUUUGAUACGGUGUGGCUAGAGUUCGGGAGAGGAGAGUGGAAUUCCCAGUGUAGAGGUGAAAUGCGCAGAUAUCAGGAGGAACACCGGUGGCGAAGGCGGGUCUCUGGGCCGAUACUGACGCUGAGGAGCGAAAGCGUGGGGAGCGAACAGG
rnacentral:rRNA from 1 species